rnacentral:rRNA from 1 species
UACGGGGGGGGCUAGCGUUGUUCGGAAUUACUGGGCGUAAAGGGCGCGUAGGCGGCCUACUAAGUCGGACGUGAAAUCCCUCGGCUCAACCGGGGAACUGCAUCUGAUACUGGAUGGCUUGAGUUCGGGAGAGGGAUGCGGAAUUCCAGGUGUAGCGGUGAAAUGCGUAGAUAUCUGGAGGAACACCGGUGGCGAAGGCGGCAUCCUGGACCGACACUGACGCUGAGGAGCGAAAGCCAGGGGAGCAAACGGG